UUCACGAAGACGGACUCCUCCUGGACCGUUUGCGGCGUCUCUUCCCUCAGAUCACAGAGAGGAAGUCAUCAUCUUCAUCAUCAUCAUCAUCAUCCUCACACGGACUCAGAUGGCCCGCGGCGCUGCGUCGAUGAAAGUGGAUAUUUAAGGCAGCGCAGAAAGCAGUUCGCAUUCACUCUCCGCGGCGCGCGUCCAGAGAGGCAGGCGCUCUACAACUCACUGACAAAUAAUGUCUUGCGAACGAACGAGGCUUCAUAUAACAUGACCGGAAGGAGAACGAGGUACGGACUCGGUGAGUCCUCGUUGAACGCGGAGGUUUUUUGAGGAGGACGGUGGAUGACCGCGAGCGCUCACUUCAGAAGAGCGCGUGUCACUCAACUCCAUCUGCAGGCAGCAGAAGCGGGAGAGCUGAAGGUGACCUGUGGCUGGGCCGGGGGCUGCAACACAGGACAUGGGAGCUGCCUCUGACUCCCGCUCGUGUCUUGUGUUGCAGCCAGUGGAACUGCUGCACUGUCCACAUCAGAGAUGGGAGGAAGCAUCGCGCUCGGGGAACAUUACACUCUCUUACAGCGGCUGCCUCUCAAAUCAUUGCUCUUCUCAUCUACUUCUCAAAGGAAAACACAGCUGAUAAUGAUGUGUAUAUUUCUGAAUAAAAGACAUUAUAGCUUUUAAAAUAAAUGCAAAGGGAAAGCAGCUAGUAGGCUACUUUUUUGUAAUAGGGUAAGUGAUGUCCCACUCAUUUUUUUAUUACAAAUGUUUCUUGAACAGCAAAUCAGCAUUUUAAAAUGAUUUCUGAAGGAUGAUGUGACACUGAAGUAAUGAUGCUGAAAACUUUUGCAUCACAGGAAUUAUAAUUACAAAUAUGCAAUAUAACACUUUACACACACAAGAUUUUUUUAUAUAUGUAUAUGUAUAUCUUUGUAUUUUAUUCCUUGUGAUUUAAAGCUGUGUUUUCAGCAGUCUUCAAAAAUCAUGUCAAAUAUUGUUUGUAGAACAAAAAACAUUUGUAGAACAUUUUAACUUUUCAAUGAACUGUUCAAUUAUUAAAUUCCUUGUUCCUA